rnacentral:tRNA from 1 species
UGAGGCUGUGGUUCCAUGGCAGAGCCUCUGUCUUGUAUACAGGUGGUCCUAGGUUCAAUCGCUAGCAUUUUAG